rnacentral:rRNA from 1 species
AACGAACGCUGGCGGCGCGCUUAACACAUGCAAGUCGAACGGUCCUGAUAGAGCCGUAAGGUGAUAUCGGGAUAGUGGCAAACGGGUGAGUAAUACGUGGAUAAUCUGCCCUUGAGUGGGGGGUAACUCUACGAAAGUGGAGCUAAUACCGCGAAGACUACAGAAUCGCAGGAUUCAGUAGUAAAAGGUUCCGGUUUACCGGAGUCGCUCAAGGAUGAGCCCGCGCCUGAUUAGCUAGUUGGUAGGGUAAUAGCCUACCAAGGCAACGAUCAGUAGCCGGCCUGAAAGGGUGUUCGGCCACAUUGGAAUUGAGAUACGGUCCAGACUCCUACGGGAGGCAGCAGUGGGGAAUCUUGCGCAAUGGGGGAAACCCUGACGCAGUGACGCCGCGUGAACGAUGAAGUCCUUCGGGAUGUAAAGUUCUGUCAGGCGGGAAGAACCCCCCGAUUUAAUCGGGGAAUGACGGUACCGCCAAAGGAAGCACUGGCUAAUUCCGUGCCAGCAGCCGCGGUAACACGGAGAGUGCAAGCGUUGUUCGGAAUUACUAGGCGUAAAGAGCGUGUAGGUGGUUAGCUAAGUCGGAUGUGAAAAUCCCAAGCUUAACUUGGAGCGUGCAUUCGAAACUGGUUAACUUGAGUGUAGGAGAGGAGAGCGGAAUUCCUAGUGUAGCGGUGAAAUGCGUAGAUAUUAGGAAGAACACCGGUGGCGAAGGCGGCUCUCUGGCCUAAAACUGACACUGAGACGCGAAAGCGUGGGUAGCGAACAGGAUUAGAUACCCUGGUAGUCCACGCCGUAAACGAUGGGCAUUAGGUGUAGGAGGUACCCAAUCCUUCUGUGCCGAAGUUAACGCAUUAAAUGCCCCGCCUGGGGAGACGACCGCAAGGUU